UUAAGACAAGCAAGCCCACUCGCACAUGAAACCAUGACACUAUGGCAGGCCAACUUACUAGCUUUCAAGUAAGGUAACAUCUCAGACCAUCAUAGGUUUUGACAGGGGAAACUCUGAAGGACCACAGGAGUUGGAGGUUCCACGUAUCUCUAAGUAGUAACAUACGAUGGGUCCAAAACAGAAGAAAGAGAACUCAAGAUUCCCGAGCCACAGAGCUGUUGAUUGGAGGCUGACUCAGAGAAACCCUGGAUUCAGUGACAUACAGAGACAACAGGUACAGGAUCAGUAUGGGUUUUAAUUGAGGGGCUCGGCACCAAAUGACAGACUUGACACAUCCACCCCCACCAUGGAUGCUGUCCGUCCACUGUUGCACAAUGUCCUUCAGUGUCUAAUUUACAGAUCCAGCUGUAUUUCCCCUUCCACCUGCAUCCCUGAAGUUCCUCCCACCUGAAAACUUCACCUGACCCAAGAAAGCAAAGGAAAAAACCCGGAGAGCCAGCUCAUAGUCUGGUUCACUGUUUAACAGCCAGAAGCCAGAGCCUGCGUACUAGAAGUGGAUGCCCAGGAAGUACUUGUGAGCUGACUAAGAAUGUAAGAACGCCACCCACUUCAUUCAGGAAAGUGAGGCAGGAUUCCAUGGAGUAUGAAUGACUGCACAUGGAACAAGCAGGUUAUCAUUUAUAUUCAGCAAGGGACCUCCAUGAACAGGACAUUUGGGGAGCUGCUAUCAAACAUCAGAACUUCUGACACUGUGCACACAGUCUUAUAUUGUGCCUUGUCUGUUGUGAUGUCUCACUACAGUAAUGAUUAAGAUGAUGAG
rnacentral:lncRNA from 1 species